rnacentral:rRNA from 1 species
ACAUAGGGGCCAAGCGUUAUCCGGAUUUAUUGGGCGUAAAGCGCGCGUAGGUGGUCGGUUAAGUCGGGUGUUAAAACUGGAAGCUCAACUUCCAUACGCGCCCGAAACUGAUCGGCUUCGAGGUUGGAAGAGGGAAGUGGAACUCACAGUGUAGCGGUGAAAUGCGUAGAUAUUGUGAGGAACACCAGUGGCGAAGGCGACUUCCUGGUCCAAAUCUGACGCUAAAGCGCGAAAGCAUGGGGAGCAAACAG